AAAAACCCAGGCCAGGAAUCGCGGGGUGCGAAAGCGAGGUGGGCGGUGAGAGCGAGCGCGCCCCUCCGCUGACCCCGGGGAGCGUGGACCACAAGUUGGCGGCCAAGUCCAGAAAUCCGCGCGCACCGCGAUUAGCACCUCCCUUUCUUGUGAGGAGGAACAAGUAGAAGAAAGAGACUGGAGUGAUGACUUCAUGGCUUUCUGGAUUGAGAAAGAGAUUGGGAGCUUCCCCCUCUAUGUACGAAUGUGUGAAGAAGAGCAAGAGUCCUCCUCCCACGCAAUCAUUGGAAUGAGGAAAAUAUUUGCCGUGCCUGCAGUGUCCAAGGAUCAGUUGGGGCCAAUGUCAAGCCAGUAUUAUAGGAUACUUCUCAGACUGACAGCCCAAUGUCACUGGAAACCACUGGGCCACAGGAAAGGCAGACUUCAAAUCAUCCUGACACCAGAGAACACUACAUGACAGUGGACAGGAAGACAGUAUACCUUUUGCUCCUGAUGAUUGUAAGAACCACCUCCUUCCUCUUAUUGUGAAGUGCAAGGUGCAAAAAGGAGGCCUGCUGCUUGUUCAGGACUAUGUCAGCAUUGUGGCUCAGAAGAAGCGCAACGGCUUUGGCGUGGCCUUCCCUUGCAGCAAAGUGAAGUGCAGUGUUCUUUUGAGGAAAAAGAGACACAGAAAAUGUGGUGACAAUGUCUAAUCUGCCUUAUUUCACCACUUAACUGCUUAAAAGACAUUAGCGACACUACUAUUUAAUACCAAAAUACAUAGGAUUUAAAACUGGUGUUCAGAAUCAAGCUUCAAAAUAAUGAGUUCAUAGUUCAAACAUGGUGUGUGUGUGUGCAUGUGUGGGAAGUGGAUCGGGGUGUGUGUGUGUGUGUGUGUGAGAGAGAGAGAGAGAGAGAGAGAGAGAAAGAGAGAGAAAGAGAGAGAGAAUGAAUUCCAAGGUAUUUGUUUUGUGUUGCUUUUGCAAUGGGAUGAUUCUACAAGGACAAAGGAUAAGCUUUCAGGGUAAAGAUGUUGGGUUGAACACAGAAGAAAAUCCUCCUGAGACUGAUCAUUUGGAGAACAGUGGCUUACAGAUUUGGGGCUUCACAAGCUUGUAAAUUUUUUUUUUUAAAUCAGCGACUGUUAUAAGUUUGCCCAUUUUUAGUUUCCCCACAUAAAGAUUUUUUUUUUUUAAAGGCAACAACAAUCUUCUAUCCCCAUCAUUUUAUGAACAAACAUACGUUUCAAAAGUCACUCUCCCCAACAGAAGGACAUAAUAGCACAAUAAAGGGCAGUAUUUCAAAUCAAUACACUUCAAAACAACCCUUAUCUUAAUGAAAACUCACCCCUGCCUUCAUUUCUGUGGACCUACCAGGGAGUAAACGCUUUGCCAUCAAAUUUCAAUGGCCUGUGGACCUCGCUGCUCUGUGAGACUGGGGGUUUCCUCAACAUUCACCCACCCCUUGGUAUUCUCUCAUUUCUGCUGCCUUUUGAUUCAUACUUCACCUCAAGAAUCCACUUGCUAAACAUCCAACAAAAGGCUGGGAAUAGAGCAAGGAAGGUAAAAGGUGUCUUGGAGAGUUUUCUGGCAAUGUUGGAAGUUUCUGCUAUGUCAAGAUUUUGGGUAAGCAUGAGGACCACAGUGCAUACCCCGUCUUCAUCCAGGCGAUCUGUGCACUUCAAAUUAGUAUCAAGAAUGACCUUCAUGGUCUGAGUGUACCCGCCCAUGGACGCAUGAUGCAAAGCCGUCCAGCCAUUGUGGUCACUGGUAAAGAGUUAAGAAAAGAUAUGCGCAUACACUUAGCAGACGAAAUGUGGGAUGGGAUGCCAUUUGGCUUAUUCUAGGUAAAUCUGAUGACAACAAAAAGCAUAAAUGACAUCUGGCAACUAAAUAUUUAUAAAACAUUUAUAAUAAAUGAGCUAAUUCCAAGCUUAAUGAUCUUAAAUGACCUAUUUCUAACGUGAUUCACACGUUUUUUAUUUAGUGGUUUAAAAUACGAAAGUAUAUAAAACAUUACCAAACACUUUGGGGUAGAAGAAGUACGCUUAGCGUGUCUGUGUCAUACAUCAUUUUUUUAAAGCUAUAAUGAACUGAUACACAUCAAUUUAAAUCUUGUUUUAUUCUUUCAAUGAACAUUGUAUCAACAAAUUUUUAUGAAGUAAUGUUAGUGUUUAUGGUCAAUAGUUAUUGGUAAUACUACUAAUAAUAUAGUAUAUGGCUAUAAGAUACUUCGCUUAGUGUCAGUUAUUAUUCUAAGAGUUUAAAUCUGAAAAACUUCCCUCUUGUGCUCUGAAAGAUGCUUACUCAUUUGCUUUGAAAAAUGUUUAUCCUUUUCCACAGAAAUUCAAGAUGUAAAUACAACGAAGCCUUAUCAUAUUAGUUAUCUUUUUUCAAAUUACCUGGAAAAAAAUUCCUGACACUAUUUGAUUUCAGUGCUAGUGAGCAGAUGUUUUAGAGUGCAAGAGCCAUGUUGCUAUAUCAGUUAUGAUGUAAAUAAGCAACAACUGUCUGGCCUGGGUCUACUUGGGUCCCUUUGCAGGCCAGUUUCUUGGUGUUUCUUUGUAAACCAGAAGAAACUGAGCAAAACAUUUAUUCUUGUAGCUGUAGCACUAAUUUGCUGUCAUCAAUAUUAUGGUAAGGAAAUGUGUUUUUGAACAUUAGCCUAAUAAGCUCUUUGCUACUGCUAUGGUAAGAUAUUAAAUGAAAAACCUCUGUAAAAUGUUUCCAGGUUUUUUCUUUCUUAUCACAAUGUCAUUUAAUUAUGCCACGUAUUUUCUUAUGCUUACAUAUUUUAACUUUGUUUUGUUUCUUGUGCUUGAGCUCAUUUAAGCAUAAUAAAAUUCAGAAAUGUUUAC